rfam:Dipodomys ordii contig_60439, whole genome shotgun sequence.
GGUGGCUCAGUGGCAGAGUGCUUGCCUUGCAUGCAUGAGGCCCUGGGUUUGAUUCCCCAGCACCA